rfam:Cavia porcellus supercont2_32 genomic scaffold, whole genome shotgun sequence.
GGGAAUUUAGCUCAGCGGCAUAAGCACCUGCCUUGCAAGCAGGCGGUUGUGAGUUCGAUCCCUCGUACUGAUUA